UUUUCAGGAAUACCGUAUUUC
ensembl:piRNA 21ur-6912 ncRNA